rnacentral:rRNA from 1 species
AGCUUGCUUCUCUUGAAGCGGCGGACGGGUGAGUAAUGCCUAGGAAUCUGCCUGGUAGUGGGGGAUAACGUUCGGAAACGGACGCUAAUACCGCAUACGUCCUACGGGAGAAAGCAGGGGACCUUCGGGCCUUGCGCUAUCAGAUGAGCCUAGGUCGGAUUAGCUAGUUGGUGAGGUAAUGGCUCACCAAGGCUACGAUCCGUAACUGGUCUGAGAGGAUGAUCAGUCACACUGGAACUGAGACACGGUCCAGACUCCUACGGGAGGCAGCAGUGGGGAAUAUUGGACAAUGGGCGAAAGCCUGAUCCAGCCAUGCCGCGUGUGUGAAGAAGGUCUUCGGAUUGUAAAGCACUUUAAGUUGGGAGGAAGGGCAGUUACCUAAUACGUGAUUGUUUUGACGUUACCGACAGAAUAAGCACCGGCUAACUCUGUGCCAGCAGCCGCGGUAAUACAGAGGGUGCAAGCGUUAAUCGGAAUUACUGGGCGUAAAGCGCGCGUAGGUGGUUAGUUAAGUUGGAUGUGAAAUCCCCGGGCUCAACCUGGGAACUGCAUUCAAAACUGACUGACUAGAGUAUGGUAGAGGGUGGUGGAAUUUCCUGUGUAGC